GGGUCUGUAGCUCAGUUGGUUAGAGCACACGCUUGAUAAGCGUGGGGUCACAAGUUCAAGA
rnacentral:tRNA from 1 species